GACGAACGCUGGCGGCGUGCUUAACACAUGCAAGUCGAACGGAAAGGCCCUGCUUUUGUGGGGUGCUCGAGUGGCAAACGGGUGAGUAACACGUGAGUAACCUGCCCUUGACUUUGGGAUAACUUCAGGAAACUGGGGCUAAUACCGGAUAGGAGCUCCUGCUGCAUGGUGGGGGUUGGAAAGUUUCGGCGGUUGGGGAUGGACUCGCGGCUUAUCAGCUUGUUGGUGGGGUAGUGGCUUACCAAGGCUUUGACGGGUAGCCGGCCUGAGAGGGUGACCGGCCACAUUGGGACUGAGAUACGGCCCAGGCUCCUACGGGAGGCAGCAGUGGGGAAUAUUGCACAAUGGGCGGAAGCCUGAUGCAGCAACGCCGCGUGCCGGAUGACGGCCUUCGGGUUGUAAACCGCUUUCGCCUGUGACGAAGCGUGAGUGACGGUAAUGGGUAAAGAAGCACCGGCUAACUACGUG
rnacentral:rRNA from 1 species